CGAACGGGUGAGUAAUGCGUGACCAACCUGCCCCACUACUCCAGAAUAGCUCUUGGAAACGGGUGGUAAUGCUGGAUGCUCCAACUUGACGCAUGUCUUGUUGGGAAAGUGUUUAGUGGCAUGGGAUGGGGUCGCGUCCUAUCAGCUUGUAGGCGGGGUAAUGGCCCACCUAGGCUUCGACGGGUAGCCGGCCUGAGAGGGCGGACGGCCACAUUGGGACUGAGAUACGGCCCAGACUCCUACGGGAGGCAGCAGCC
rnacentral:rRNA from 1 species